rnacentral:rRNA from 1 species
UAUAACCGCCAGGGAAUUACGAGACCCUUAAAACCCAAAGGACUUGACGGUGUCCCACCCACCUAGAGGAGCCUGUUCUAUAAUCGACACCCCACGAUUUACCCUACCACCCCUAGCACACUCAGUCUGUAUACCUCCGUCGCAAGCUUACCAUGUGAACGUCACUAGUGAGCUAAAAGAUUCUUUUCCCACCCACACGUCAGGUCAAGGUGCAACUAACGGAGCGGAAAGCAAUGGGCUACAAUUUCUACUAUAGAACACACGAAAAACUGAAUGAAAUUCAGUCACGAAGGCGGAUUUAGAAGUAAAAAGAAAUCAGAAAGUUCUCUUUAACUAGGCCCUGGGACGCGU